GGCCAGACUCCUACGGGAGGCAGCAGUGGGGAAUAUUGCACAAUGGGGGAAACCCUGAUGCAGCGACGCCGCGUGGGUGAAGAAGUAUUUCGGUAUGUAAAGCCCUAUCAGCAGGGAAGAAAGAAGACGGUACCUGACUAAGAAGCCCCGGCUAACUACGUGCCAGCAGCCGCGGUAAUACGUAGGGGGCGAGCGUUAUCCGGAUUCACUGGGUGUAAAGGGAGCGUAGACGGCCGUGCAAGCCAGGAGUGAAAGCCCGGGGCCCAACCCCGGGACUGCUCUUGGAACUGUGCGGCUGGAGUGCGGGAGGGGCAGGCGGAAUUCCUAGUGUAGUGGUGAAAUGCGUAGAUAUUAGGAGGAACACCAGUGGCGAAGGCGGCCUGCUGGACGAUGACUGACGUUGAGGCUCGAAAGCGUGGGGAGCAAACAGGAUUAGAUACCCGCGUACA
rnacentral:rRNA from 1 species